rnacentral:rRNA from 1 species
ACGUACACUCCUACGGGAGGCAGCAGUGGGGAAUAUUGCACAAUGGGCGCAAGCCUGAUGCAGCCAUGCCGCGUGUAUGAAGAAGGCCUUCGGGUUGUAAAGUACUUUCAGCGGGGAGGAAGGCGAUAAGGUUAAUAACCUUGUCGAUUGACGUUACCCGCAGAAGAAGCACCGGCUAACUCCGUGCCAGCAGCCGCGGUAAUACGGAGGGUGCAAGCGUUAAUCGGAAUUACUGGGCGUAAAGCGCACGCAGGCGGUCUGCCAAGUCGGAUGUGAAAUCCCCGGGCUCAACCUGGGAACUGCAUUCGAAACUGGCAGGCUAGAGUCUUGUAGAGGGGGGUAGAAUUCCAGGUGUAGCGGUGAAAUGCGUAGAGAUCUGGAGGAAUACCGGUGGCGAAGGCGGCCCCCUGGACAAAGACUGACGCUCAGGUGCGAAAGCGUGGGGAGCAAACAGGAUUAGAUACCCUAGUAGUCC